AUUGAACGCUGGCGGCAUGCCUUACACAUGCGAGUCGAACGGCAGCACGGGUGCUUGCACCUGGUGGCGAGUGGCGAACGGGUGAGUAAUACAUCGGAACAUGUCCUGUAGUGGGGGAUAGCCCGGCGAAAGCCGGAUUAAUACCGCAUACGAUCCACGGAUGAAAGCGGGGGACCUUCGGGCCUCGCGCUAUAGGGUUGGCCGAUGGCUGAUUAGCUAGUUGGUGGGGUAAAGGCCUACCAGGGCGACGAUCAGUAGCUGGUCUGAGAGGACGACCAGCCACACUGGGACUGAGACACGGCCCAGACUCCUACGGGAGGCAGCAGUGGGGAAUUUUGGACAAUGGGCGAAAGCCUGAUCCAGCAAUGCCGCGUGUGUGAAGAAGGCCUUCGGGUUGUAAAGCACUUUUGUCCGGAAAGAAAUCCUUGGCUCUAAUACAGUCGGGGGAUGACGGUACCGGAAGAAUAAGCACCGGCUAACUACGU
rnacentral:rRNA from 1 species